rnacentral:rRNA from 1 species
CACGUAGGGCGCAAGCGUUGUCCGGAAUUACUGGGCGUAAAGGGCUCGUAGGUGGCCAACUAAGUCGGACGUGAAAUCCCUCAGCUUAACUGGGGAACUGCGUCCGAUACUGGAUGGCUUGAGUUUGGGAGAGGGAUGCGGAAUUCCAGGUGUAGCGGUGAAAUGCGUAGAUAUCUGGAGGAACACCGGUGGCGAAGGCGGCAUCCUGGACCAACACUGACACUGAUGAGCGAAAGCCAGGGGAGCAAACGGG